GGUUAAGCGACUAAGCGUACACGGUGGAUGCCCUGGCAGUCAGAGGCGAUGAAGGACGUGCUAAUCUGCGAUAAGCGUCGGUAAGGUGAUAUGAACCGUUAUAACCGGCGAUUUCCGAAUGGGGAAACCCAGUGUGUUUCGACACACUAUCAUUAACUGAAUCCAUAGGUUAAUGAGGCGAACCGGGGGAACUGAAACAUCUAAGUACCCCGAGGAAAAGAAAUCAACCGAGAUUCCCCCAGUAGCGGCGAGCGAACGGGGAGGAGCCCAGAGUCUGAAUCAGUGUGUGUGUUAGUGGAAGCGUCUGGAAAGGCGCGCGAUACAGGGUGACAGCCCCGUACACAAAAAUGCACAUACUGUGAGCUCGAUGAGUAGGGCGGGACACGUGGUAUCCUGUCUGAAUAUGGGGGGACCAUCCUCCAAGGCUAAAUACUCCUGACUGACCGAUAGUGAACCAGUACCGUGAGGGAAAGGCGAAAAGAACCCCGGCGAGGGGAGUGAAAAAGAACCUGAAACCGUGUACGUACAAGCAGUGGGAGCCUCUUUUAUGGGGUGACUGCGUACCUUUUGUAUAAUGGGUCAGCGACUUAUAUUCUGUAGCAAGGUUAACCGAAUAGGGGAGCCGAAGGGAAACCGAGUCUUAACUGGGCGUUAAGUUGCAGGGUAUAGACCCGAAACCCGGUGAUCUAGCCAUGGGCAGGUUGAAGGUUGGGUAACACUAACUGGAGGACCGAACCGACUAAUGUUGAAAAAUUAGCGGAUGACUUGUGGCUGGGGGUGAAAGGCCAAUCAAACCGGGAGAUAGCUGGUUCUCCCCGAAAGCUAUUUAGGUAGCGCCUCGUGAAUUCAUCUCCGGGGGUAGAGCACUGUUUCGGCAAGGGGGUCAUCCCGACUUACCAACCCGAUGCAAACUGCGAAUACCGGAGAAUGUUAUCACGGGAGACACACGGCGGGUGCUAACGUCCGUCGUGAAGAGGGAAACAACCCAGACCGCCAGCUAAGGUCCCAAAGUCAUGGUUAAGUGGGAAACGAUGUGGGAAGGCCCAGACAGCCAGGAUGUUGGCUUAGAAGCAGCCAUCAUUUAAAGAAAGCGUAAUAGCUCACUGGUCGAGUCGGCCUGCGCGGAAGAUGUAACGGGGCUAAACCAUGCACCGAAGCUGCGGCAGCGACGCUUAUGCGUUGUUGGGUAGGGGAGCGUUCUGUAAGCCUGUGAAGGUGUGCUGUGAGGCAUGCUGGAGGUAUCAGAAGUGCGAAUGCUGACAUAAGUAACGAUAAAGCGGGUGAAAAGCCCGCUCGCCGGAAGACCAAGGGUUCCUGUCCAACGUUAAUCGGGGCAGGGUGAGUCGACCCCUAAGGCGAGGCCGAAAGGCGUAGUCGAUGGGAAACAGGUUAAUAUUCCUGUACUUGGUGUUACUGCGAAGGGGGGACGGAGAAGGCUAUGUUGGCCGGGCGACGGUUGUCCCGGUUUAAGCGUGUAGGCUGGUUUUCCAGGCAAAUCCGGAAAAUCAAGGCUGAGGCGUGAUGACGAGGCACUACGGUGCUGAAGCAACAAAUGCCCUGCUUCCAGGAAAAGCCUCUAAGCAUCAGGUAACAUCAAAUCGUACCCCAAACCGACACAGGUGGUCAGGUAGAGAAUACCAAGGCGCUUGAGAGAACUCGGGUGAAGGAACUAGGCAAAAUGGUGCCGUAACUUCGGGAGAAGGCACGCUGAUAUGUAGGUGAAGUCCCUUGCGGAUGGAGCUGAAAUCAGUCGAAGAUACCAGCUGGCUGCAACUGUUUAUUAAAAACACAGCACUGUGCAAACACGAAAGUGGACGUAUACGGUGUGACGCCUGCCCGGUGCCGGAAGGUUAAUUGAUGGGGUCAGCGCAAGCGAAGCUCUUGAUCGAAGCCCCGGUAAACGGCGGCCGUAACUAUAACGGUCCUAAGGUAGCGAAAUUCCUUGUCGGGUAAGUUCCGACCUGCACGAAUGGCGUAAUGAUGGCCAGGCUGUCUCCACCCGAGACUCAGUGAAAUUGAACUCGCUGUGAAGAUGCAGUGUACCCGCGGCAAGACGGAAAGACCCCGUGAACCUUUACUAUAGCUUGACACUGAACAUUGAGCCUUGAUGUGUAGGAUAGGUGGGAGGCUUAGAAGUGUGGACGCCAGUCUGCAUGGAGCCGACCUUGAAAUACCACCCUUUAAUGUUUGAUGUUCUAACGUUGGCCCCUAAUCGGGGUUGCGGACAGUGUCUGGUGGGUAGUUUGACUGGGGCGGUCUCCUCCUAAAGAGUAACGGAGGAGCACGAAGGUUGGCUAAUCCUGGUCGGACAUCAGGAGGUUAGUGCAAUGGCAUAAGCCAGCUUGACUGCGAGCGUGACGGCGCGAGCAGGUGCGAAAGCAGGUCAUAGUGAUCCGGUGGUUCUGAAUGGAAGGGCCAUCGCUCAACGGAUAAAAGGUACUCCGGGGAUAACAGGCUGAUACCGCCCAAGAGUUCAUAUCGACGGCGGUGUUUGGCACCUCGAUGUCGGCUCAUCACAUCCUGGGGCUGAAGUAGGUCCCAAGGGUAUGGCUGUUCGCCAUUUAAAGUGGUACGCGAGCUGGGUUUAGAACGUCGUGAGACAGUUCGGUCCCUAUCUGCCGUGGGCGCUGGAGAACUGAGGGGGGCUGCUCCUAGUACGAGAGGACCGGAGUGGACGCAUCACUGGUGUUCGGGUUGUCAUGCCAAUGGCACUGCCCGGUAGCUAAAUGCGGAAGAGAUAAGUGCUGAAAGCAUCUAAGCACGAAACUUGCCCCGAGAUGAGUUCUCCCUGACUCCUUGAGAGUCCUGAAGGAACGUUGAAGACGACGACGUUGAUAGGCCGGGUGUGUAAGCGCAGCGAUGCGUUGAGCUAACCGGUACUAAUGAACCGUGAGGCUUAACCUU
rnacentral:rRNA from 1 species